rnacentral:rRNA from 1 species
UUGAACGCUGGCGGCAGGCUUAACACAUGCAAGUCGAACGGGCAUAGCAAUAUGUCAGUGGCAGACGGGUGAGUAACGCGUGGGAACGUACCUUUUGGUUCGGAACAACACAGGGAAACUUGUGGCUAAUACCGGAUAAGCCCUUACGGGGAAAGAUUUAUCGCCGAAAGAUCGGCCCGCGUCUGAUUAGCUAGUUGUAGGGUAAUGGCCUACCAAGGCGACGAUCAGUAGCUGGCUGAGAGGAUGAUCAGCCACAUUGGGACUGAGACACGGCCCAAACUCCUACGGGAGGC